CCUACGGGAGGCUGCAGUGGGGAAUAUUGGACAAUGGGGGCAACCCUGAUCCAGCCAUGCCGCGUGUGUGAAGAAGGCCCUCGGGUUGUAAAGCACUUUCAGUGAGGAAGAACGCCUGGUGGUUAAUACCCAUCAGGAAAGACAUCACUCACAGAAGAAGCACCGGCUAACUCCGUGCCAGCAGCCGCGGGAAUACGGAGGGUGCGAGCGUUAAUCGGAAUUACUGGGCGUAAAGCGCGCGUAGGUGGCUUGAUAAGCCGGUUGUGAAAGCCCCGGGCUCAACCUGGGAACGGCAUCCGGAACUGUCAAGCUAGAGUGCAGGAGAGGAAGGUAGAAUUCCCGGUGUAGCGGUGAAAUGCGUAGAGAUCGGGAGGAAUACCAGUGGCGAAGGCGGCCUUCUGGACUGACACUGACACUGAGGUGCGAAAGCGUGGGUAGCAAACAGGAUUAGAUACCCUAGUAGUC
rnacentral:rRNA from 1 species